rnacentral:rRNA from 1 species
CGUGGGUAAUCUACCCUCGGGUGGGGAAUAACUCCUCGAAAGGGGAGCUAAUGCCGACAUGCCCAACAUUCCCGCAAGGGAAUAUUGGAAAGCCGUACCGUGGGUACGGCGCCCAAGGAUGAGCUCACGUCCUAUCAGCUUGUUGGCGGGGUAACGGCCCACCAAGGCUGCGACGGGUAGCUGGUCUGAGAGGACGACCAGCCACACUGGCACUGCGACACGGGCCAG